UACAGAGGUCCCAAGCGUUGUUCGGAUUCACUGGGCGUAAAGGGUGCGUAGGUGGUCGGGUAAGUCUGAGGUGAAAUCUCCGAGCUCAACUCGGAAACUGCCUUGGAUACUAUCCGGCUUGAGGGUUGGAGGGGGGACUGGAAUUCUCGGUGUAGCAGUGAAAUGCGUAGAUAUCGAGAGGAACACCAGUGGCGAAGGCGAGUCCCUGGACAACUCCUGACGCUGAAGCACGAAAGCUAGGGGAGCAAACAGG
rnacentral:rRNA from 1 species